rnacentral:rRNA from 1 species
AGCAGCCGCGGUAAUUCCAGCUCCAAUAGCGUAUAUUAAAGUUGUUGCAGUUAAAAAGCUCGUAGUUGAAUUUCGGGGUUCUACCGUUGGUCGGGCUUUGUCUGUACUGAUGUGUAGAAUUUCUACCUUCUGGGGAACUAUCAUGUUAUUAAUUUAGCGUGGUGGGAAACCAGGACCUUUACCUUGAAAAAAUUAGAGUGUUCAAAGCAGGCUUAUGUCUGAAUACAUUAGCAUGGAAUAAUAGAAUAGGACGGUGGUCCUGUUUUGUUGGUUUCUGAAUCACCGUAAUGAUUAAUAGGGAUAGUUGGGGGCAUUAGUAUUCAAUUGUCAGAGGUGAAAUUCUUGGAUUUAUUGAAGACUAACUUCUGCGAAAGCAUUUGCCAAGGAUGUUUUCAUUAAUCAAGAACGAAAGUUAGGGGAUCGAAGGCGAUCAGAUACCGUCGUAGUCUUAACCACAAACUAUGCCGACUAGGGAUCGGACGAUGUUAAUUUUUCUUGACUCGUUCGGCGCCUUACGGGA